AUUGAACGCUGGCGGCAGGCCUAACACAUGCAAGUCGAGCGGUAGAGAGAAGCUUGCUUCUCUUGAGAGCGGCGGACGGGUGAGUAACGCCUAGGAAUCUGCCUAGUGGUGGGGGAUAACGUUCGGAAACGGACGCUAAUACCGCAUACGUCCUACGGGAGAAAGCGGGGGAUCUUCGGACCUCGCGCCAUUAGAUGAGCCUAGGUCGGAUUAGCUAGUCGGUGAGGUAAUGGCUCACCAAGGCGACGAUCCGUAACUGGUCUGAGAGGAUGAUCAGUCACACUGGAACUGAGACACGGUCCAGACUCCUACGGGAGGCAGCAGUGGGGAAUAUUGGACAAUGGGCGAAAGCCUGAUCCAGCCAUGCCGCGUGUGUGGAGAAGGUCUUCGGAUUGUAAAGCACUUUAAGUUGGGAGGAAGUGCAGUAACCUAAUACGUUAUUGUUUUGACGUUACCGACAGAAUAAGCACCGGCUAACUUCGUGCCAGCAGCCGCAGUAAAAC
rnacentral:rRNA from 1 species